rnacentral:rRNA from 1 species
UCCUACGGGAGGCAGCAGUGAGGAAUCUUGCGCAAUGGGCGAAAGCCUGACGCACCCACGCCGCGUGCCGGAUGAAGGCCCUAUGGGUUGUAAACGGCUUUUAAGCAGGAAGAACGACCGGUAUUUCGAUCUGGUGUGACGGUACUGCUUGAAUAAGCACCGGCUAACUCCGUGCCAGCAGCCGCGGUAAUACGGAGGGUGCAAGCGUUGUCCGGAAUCAUUGGGUGUAAAGGGUGCGUAGGCGGGCGUCUAAGUCUGGGGUGAAAUCUUGCCGCUUAACGGUAAAAUGGCCUUGGAUACUGGGCGUCUUGAGUGUAGAAGAGGUAAGUGGAAUUCGUAGUGUAGCGGUGAAAUGCAUAGAUAUUACGAAGAACAUCAGUGGCGAAGGCGGCUUACUGGUCUACAACUGACGCUGAGGCACGAAAGCGUGGGGAGCGAACAGGAUUAGAUACCCUGGUAGUCCACGCUGUAAACGAUGCAUACUAGGUGUUGGCCUUUCGGGGCCAGUGCUGCAGUUAACGCAUUAAGUAUGCCACCUGGGGAGUACGUCGGCAACGAUGAAACUCAAAUGAAUUGACGG